rfam:Sorghum bicolor cultivar BTx623 unplaced genomic scaffold super_1805, whole genome shotgun sequence.
GGAUGCGAUCAUACCAGCACUAAAGCAGCGGAUCCCAUCAGAACUCCGAAGUUAAGCGUGCUUGGGCGAGAGUAGUACUAGGAUGGGUGACCUCCUGGGAAGUCCUCGUGUUGCAUUCC